CCUAAGGACGAGGACAACCACGGGAAACUGUGGCUAAUACUCGAUAAGAAAUUUGGCCUGGAACGGUAUCUUUCACAAAACCGGCUCGCCGUGAGACACGGGCCCUAGGAUGGGGCUGCGGCUGAUUAUGCUAGAUGGCGGUGUAAAGGACCACCAUGGCUACGAUCAGUAUGGGCGAUGGAAGUCGGAGCCCAGAGUCGGCUACUGAGACAAGGAGCCGAGCUUUACGAAGCUUAGCGGUCGCGAAAACUCGCCAAUGCACGAAAGUGUGAGUGGGCUACUCCAAGUGACAUUCUUACGGAUGUCUGUCGCUCAGUCUUACCAGCUGAGAAAGGAAGGAGAGGGCAAGGCUGGUGCCAGCCGCCGCGGUAAAACCAGCUCUUCGAGUGGUCAGGACGAAUAUUGGGUCUAAAGCGCUCGUAGCCGGACAAGUAGGUUCUUGGUUAAACCCGACAGCAUAACUGUUGGUCUGCUGGGAAUACCGCUAGUCUUGGAAGCGGGAGAGGACAGAGGUAGUCAUAGGGCAGGGGUGAAAUCCAGUGAUCCUAUGGCGACCACCGAUGGCGAAGGCAUCUGUCUGGAACGUAUUCGACGGUGAGGGGCGAAAGCUAGGGGAGCGACCCGGAUUAGAUACCCGGUUAGUCCUAGCCGUAAACGAUG
rnacentral:rRNA from 1 species